AAGUAUUCUUCGGUGCAGCCAGCGCUUCCACAGCGCGGCAGCCCAAACCUUACACACUGUGAUUAGUUUUUUUACUAUUUACUUUGGCUGCGCAAGUGGCCAAAGGUCUUAAACACAAGAUUUAUAUCUUUUUUUACAAAAUUUAGUCAAUGAAGUUUUAAUACUAUAAUCUUCA
rnacentral:misc_RNA from 1 species